UGUAUGCACUACAAGGUUCGGCAAAAGUUCCUGCACUCUCCAGAAAUUAGUUGUAAAAAAGCUAAAUGAGCAAAACCGAAGAAAUUUCUGAAUGUUCCGUCCCAAGAAUUGUGAAAGAGAAGCUGCACUAGUACAAGGUUCAGAAACCUCAAAACCUCUUGGACUUACACAGCACAUGAAAGAGACCGAGGCUCUAAGAUACAAGGACCUGCUCAAAAUACUUCAGCAGCAUUGCUCGCCAUUGCAGCACCGAUUCAAAGACGAAGUAGUGUUCAAAUAAGCCCUGUGGCGUACCUGCGCUGCCUAUUUCGAUCUCCUCCGAAACUAGGUCCGCUAUCGUGAUCUUUGCCUUUCUGCCGUUACGAAAUUACAUACCUAAUCGUACGUCCGUUUUCCCAGUCCUAGUUCUCCUACUCUAUCUAGUAUCGUCGCACGUGUUACGUUAUUGAAGGCCUUUUUUAGGUCCAACCCGAGAAUGCCUUUGUCGAUCUGCCCGAAUCUUCAAUGAUGUGAUGUUUUAGUUGCAACAGAGCGUCUUGCUCCUGAAUCCUAUCGUCGUGGGUGAGAGCGCGUCCCAGUCCUCGAGCACAGGCGCAUAUGUGAUGCACCAGGGACGCACAAUUCACUGUGCCAAGGAGCUGACCGAGCCUAGGGCAAAUGCGAAGCCAGCGCAUGUGGAAGCUGCAUUGAUUCAGCGUCUAUUCUGAGAAAUCAAAAGCACUGAAAAACGCUACCCCGACUGUGAGGCACAGCAACACAUGUACGGAAGCGCUGCCCCUGUAGCUUCCCUUCACUGCCACAGAAAGUUGUCUGCGAAUAUAGUACGUACUGAUCAAGUUACAAAACAAUGUACAUCAGACUGCGAGCUAGCCAGUGUUGGUGCCAAUCCUGUUGUACGUUUGCAGCUUUCCCUUGUGUACAAAGUCCCAUUCUCAGUAAAAAUG